rnacentral:rRNA from 1 species
GUUGAUCCUGGCUCAGGAUGAACGCUGGCGGUCUGCUUAACACAUGCAAGUCGAACGCAACCUUCGGGUUGAGUGGCGGACGGGUGAGUAACGCGUGAGAAUCUGCCUUGGGGUCGGGGACAACCACUGGAAACGGUGGCUAAUACCGGAUAAGCCUUUGGGUAAAAGAUUUAUUGCCCCAAGAGGAGCUCGCGUCUGAUUAGCUAGUUGGUGAGGUAAAAGCUCACCAAGGCAGCGAUCAGUAGCUGGUCUGAGAGGACGAUCAGCCACACUGGGACUGAGACACGGCCCAGACUCCUACGGGAGGCAGCAGUGGGGAAUUUUCCGCAAUGGGCGAAAGCCUGACGGAGCAAGACCGCGUGAGGGAGGAAGGCUCUUGGGUUGUAAACCUCUUUUCUCAGGGAAGAAGCUCUGACGGUACCUGAGGAAUCAGCCUCGGCUAACUCCGUGCCAGCAGCCGCGGUAAUACGGAGGAGGCAAGCGUUAUCCGGAAUUAUUGGGCGUAAAGCGUCCGCAGGUGGCGAUUCAAGUCUGCUGUCAAAGCACGGGGCUUAACUCCGUUAAGGCAGUGGAAACUGAAUAGCUAGAGUGCCGUAGGGGUAGAGGGAAUUCCCGGUGUAGCGGUGAAAUGCGUAGAGAUCGGGAAGAACAUCGGUGGCGAAAAGCGCUCUACUGGACCGGCAACUGACACUCAGGGACGAAAGCUAGGGGAGCGAAUGGGAUUAGAUACCCCAGUAGUCCUAGCUGUAAACGAUGGAUACUAGGUGUAGCUUGUAUCGACCCGAGCUGCGCCGAACUAACGCGUUAAGUAUCCC